GAUUAUAAGCUUCUCUUAUCGUUUACCUUGCUGCAUCUACUUUUAAGAUUAAAAAUAUAACUGUAAUUGUAUGAAAUUUUAGUUAGUUACAUAACCUAGUUCUCUAAAUUAUAAGCUAGGUGCGGAUAAAGUGAUCAUUUAUUAACUUUAUAAGAUGACAUAUAUAGUUGUUAACUCUUUAAAUGUACAAGAUGAGACAUAUGGUGUAUUCAAAAUGUAUAAUAUAAUUUAUACUAUUAUGAUAAGAACAAAUUAAUUAAAGUAAUAAGCAUUAACUUCUAAUACAAAAAAGAAAAAAAGUAAAAAUUAGUUCCACGAUAUUUCUGUACAGCUAUUGCCUCAUAUUUUGUAAAAGUACAAUAUGUAGAAAAUGAAAUAGUUGCAGAAAGAAACUAACUACUGUAAAAAAGAAAUCAUUUAAAUAUAAAAAAGGAAUAUUUUCAUUGAUUAGAUUUAGUAAGUUGCGUCUUUCAUACGUUCAGUAUUACUACAUCUUUAUAAGUUCAAUGCAGUAGAGCCUUAUAACCCUCUCUAAGUAUCGUUCGACCAACAUGAAAAGAAAAAAGGAGUAAGAUGAUAAUAGUUGGUCGAUUGUAUUACGCAUAGCCGUAAGCUCUGCAGAUGCGUGAUGCGCUAAACGUGACGCGGUACGACGUUCCGCGGGUUAACAGUAUCUACGGAACACUGUUUUUGGGCAUCGUUACUGGGAAAAAUCGAUGUUCGACCUGAUAGGACACAGAAAAUAUGGAUUCAUGACGCAGUUCCUCAAAGGGCCUAGCUGCUGUUAAGCAAGGUUUUCGAAAAAGUUCUGUGGCUAAGUUGCAGUGAGCCUGCGCACGAAUAAACGCGCAAUGCGACACGCGAUAGAAUAGGACAGGGAGUCUCGUAAUCUCGUUAAAAAGAGACGGAACGGGGGAUGGAGAAGCGCACAGCAGCGUUCACGAUUAACGGUAAGGAAGGGAAUUUAAUGGGUGUCACGGCAAAGAAUGUUAAUUUUAUACCUUACGUACAUCGAUGUAGCGCCUAAUUGGUGUUAAUUUCACAGGAAAUACAAUAUUGAAGACUAUUUCGUGUUCAAUUUACAAAAUAAUGUUCAUUUUCAAUCGCUUUAUGUUCGAAUAUGUAUCUGAUACAGUAGAGGAUGCUGUCUCUUUAUUGUAUUCGAAAAAAUUGAAAACUUUAUACGAUUAUUAAAUUUCCUGGAUAACAUUAUUAAAAAUGUUAGAAGGUUCUUGUUACAUUUUGUUUUUAAUUAAUGAUAUUGCAAGCAAUACUUGUACGUGUGAUUAAGGAAAUAACGAUACUAUAUUUGUAAUAUCAAUAUUGUACUAAAUAAAAAAUGUUUAAA